ACGUGAUAAAACAUUGCAAAAUAUUUGUCGUUUGAGAUAGAAGAAAAUUUAAAAUAAUAAGGAGCUAUUAUAAAAUGAAGAUGCUGUUAACACCAUUUAUUGUUACAACAUUGCUGUUAAGCGCUGGAGCUGCUGACAGAUGUGGGGACAGAUGUACAUCUACUCAAGUAUGUACAGAUGAUGGAAUAUGUGUAAAUAGGACGGACCUAGUAUCGUGUGGU